rnacentral:lncRNA from 1 species
AUGUAUUAAAAUAAAUAUGUAUAUAUUUGCAUUGGAUUCCCUCCUUACAUAAAAAACAAAAAAAGAAUAAAUAAAAAAAACUCUCCCAACGGUCUGCCAGCUGUUAUCUCACAAAUAUCUCACACUCCCUCAAAAAUCUCUCUUCCCAUUAUCUCUCUGAAAAAAGAAAACAAAAUUGAAAAAAAAUCUUUCUUCUUAUCCUCUCACACGCGUCACUCUCUGUCCACUCAUAAAAAAACUCACCACACUCCACUCUCUCCUCACUCCCUAACUACCUCACAAACGAACAAAACAAUAACCUCUCUGAAUCUCUCUCACGUUUUUUUCCUCAUUCUCAUAAUCCCUUUUCACACUCCCUCACACCAAAAAACUCUCAGCUCACGCAAAUCCUCUCUCCGCUCUCACUAAACUCACCAACAAACCCAUCCGCCGCCACUUCAUCAACCAUAAAACCCUUUCCUCCUUCAAUCUCACCAACAACCUCACCGUCAUACUCUCACGAAACCCUCGCCGUCCCUCAAACCUCACUCGAUUCCGGCCACCACCAUCCGAAACCCUCAUCGUCAUUAUCUCCGCCAUUGUCCUCUCCCUCCGCAAUCUACAAAACCCUCGCCGUCACAAUCUGGAGUCAAGACUACUGAAGUGGGGUUUUGAAAUCGGUAUCGGUAGCGGUAAAUCUGACUAAGGAAGCUUUUGGAUGCCGAAUUCGAUUUAAAAGAUUAGCAGGAAGUUCGAGCAAGCCGCUGACAGACAAACAACAAAAUCUGUUGUUCGGAUGUAAACGAGGGGUACUCUUUUGGUCCUGCUUUCAAACCGACCCAUUUUCGGUUCAAAUUCCGUCAUACCUCAAAAGCAGCGGUUGGUUAUCGUCAUUUAUGUUGGUAAUAAUCUGAACUCAUCAAAAGUUUUGCCUGUUUACAGCAUUCUGUAUUUUUUUCAGUUAAACCAAUGAUGUAUUGUGUGUAGUAAUUGCUGGCUGUUGUUAUGAUUCGUAGUUUGAUGUUUUUUGAUAGGCUUAUUCCAACUCUUGGGUUAAUUAGUUUCUGUACAGUUUAAGUAGAAAAAACAGGAAAUUGUGUGGUUAAGCUAUCAGUCAGUGGUUCAUGAUUUUAUAUUUAGGACCGCCGAAUUCAUUGUUCAAAUCUGAGUUGAAUUGUGUUGUUAUUAAUAUGGCUGAUUGUGCUGUCAAUGAGUUCUGUAAGAAAAGGAUGACUUGCUGCUUAAUUUUUUUCUCUUUAAUUUCAUUUGCCAUCUAUGAUUUCGAGUUGGAUUAUGUUUUACUUCAAUUUCAUUGUGCUGUCGAAUUUAUGAGAUUUGUUGGUUUGAUUUAGUUCCGAUUCGGUGAGAUUCGACCCUGCGUUGCUUUGAUUAUGCGUUGCAUAUGCCGAAUUGAUUGCAAUGUUAAUAUGUAACGAUUUAUGUUGCUGUUGUAUUGUGAUAACAAUUUGUAUAUUGUGGUUAUAAUGAAUCGGCAGCUUAAGAUAGAGUAACAUUAGAUUUAAAGUUUAAGUUAUGGAUCACUUGCCGGAGUCACUGUUACUGGUUGUUGUUUGAGUGCCAUAAAAAAAAUAAGCUUCAAUAUUGUUGACAAACUAUCUUUGCAUUUUUUUGAAAAAAUUAGAGUUAAA